GCCUGCAACUGCAGCUCUGAUUCGACCCCUGGCCUGGGACCUUCCUCAUGCCCCUCAAAAGAAAGAAAAAGAGUCAGACAUGAGGGCAGACGUAGGGGUGAAUGUUGGGUGCUCUGUGACUGGUGGUGUGAUCCCGGACAAGCAUCGUGACAUUUCUGAAUCUGUUUCUCACACGUAAAACAGGCCCGAGGAACUUUCCUCAACAAGAGGGCCCUAAAACUGAAAUUGGAUGAUGUGUGGGAAGAGCUGGGGGUUAGCACUCGGAAGUAGACCCUUUGGGGGUCAGAUGACCUUGGGGUGCAGCAGGGACCGAUGCAGAGAGCAGGGCAGUUCUGAGAGCUGGUGGAGGCAGCAGACGGGACCGGAGAAGGGUGGUAUAUCUCAAGGACGGCUGGCGCGCGCGUGUGUGUCUGUGUCUCUGUGUGUGUCUGUGUGUGUGGGUGUGUGUCGCCAUGUCUGGGUGUGUGUCCGGGUGUGUGUCUCCAUGUGUGUGUGCGUGCAUGCCUGCAGGCUGAGCCUGGGCCAGAGGAUCUCCGUGCACACUGAGGUCUCAGCUUAAAACCCUAAGGGGGGCUGGUGACAGGUCCUCUCCCCUCUUGGCAUAACUCUUUCCAAGGAAGAGGAGCCGUGCUGAGCUCCAGGGCACUCUCGUACCCAGGCAAGCCCCGUGUGUGCCCUGGUUAUGGACUUGGUCACGUGGGGAGGGCAGUGAAAGACUAAACCUUUCCUAAAUAAACAGGCUUGGGAGGGUGGCAGCCAAGACUUUGAAGAACCAAAAUGCCAGGGCCUAAGAGCUAGACAGUAUUCUGGGGACGCACCUACUCUCGGGCCCGCGGGGAAGUGGCAACAGGCAAUUCCUCCCUCCCGUGACCCUCCCUGCACACCUGCUCAGGGCAGGUGCACCCCUUCUCCCUCCCCCACCCAAGGUUUCAGGAGGAGGAGGAGGGCUCCUGAGGCUGCUGGCAGCCUCACCACCAAACUGUUCUCAUCUCUUAUUGUUCCUGAGAUGGAACAUUUAAAUAAGAGAACUGAUGAUAAGUGGAAGCCAGCAGAAAUCAUUUACUCCGAGAAAGAAGACAAUUGCUUGAUUUAGACACCAAGUCCCUUGCCUGACUGUUCUCAGUACCAUGGUCUAAAUUUGACCUUGGGAGAUGGAUUGAAAGAGCCGCCUUGUUGGGGAGAGGACAGCAGGCGCCAGGACUCCGGGGCAACAUCUGUGGGCGGAGAACAAUGGCCUGCCUCGCCUCUGAGCCCUGCUCUGGGAGCAGACGCGACAGACUCCUGUCCAAGGCUAGUUCCUGCACCUCGUAUUGGAAGCAGGUCUGCAGCGCAGGGCCUGGGAGCAGGCUGGCAUUGACGCGUCAGCUUAGGCAUUGUUUUGAUCUCAGCUUUCCGUGUUUUCAUCUCCUCCAACCGGUGGGAGGCAGCAGAGAGGAGCUGGUCUGCCGAGGCUUUUUCCAGAACCUUGGGGAAAGCAACUAAACUACAGGAUUACAGAAAGAACAAGAGAUUGCUUUCUUGCAGUGGUGGCAAAGCCAGCAUACUUGGUAGCACUAGAAAAUCAUGGACUGAUCCUAGGAUCCAGAGGCCCUAAAUUAGCCUCCUGAAGGGCUCCUGUUUGGGGCCCAGGCCUAUAACAUGGGCUGUGGAGUCGGGGGAGGCAUUUCUUCCCUUCUUUUCUGGACGCAGGCAUAGCAGGUUCCAGGGACAGGAGGAGAGAGCAGCACUAAAGGCAGACCCUGUUCGCUUUCCAACCCAAGGAAGCUUUGGAAGAAGCAACCCUAGGAAGCUUUUUGAAACAAGGCCGCGUCAAGCAUUUUGGAUAUUUCUCUGUAAGGUUUGAGUCCUUGUUGAGUGACUUCAGAUAAAUCUGAGCCUCUGAAGGUUUCUGCAGUUCUAGGAUGGGAGGGAUAACCUUGCAAUUAUUAGCCGUGAAGAUGGUCAGAUAUUCCAGAAGACGCAGCUGUAGGAUGACGGGCCGUCUGUUAACCUGGGUCUGCCAGUGACUGCAUGGAGCAGAGUCGUACUGCCUCUUAUUCCAAAAGCAGCAUGGACAAGAAGGAAACUUUCAUGAUGCAAAGCCACUGAGAUCCAGGACUUUUUACCACAGCACAGCCUGGCCCAGGAGUUCUCAGUCUGGUCGGCUGACUUGGGGACAUCAGAAAGGCAAGUUCUCAGGCUCCGCCCCACACAUACUGAGUCAGAGACUGAGGGUGGGGCCAGCAAUCUGGGUUUUAACAGGUGUCCCAGGUGUCUCUGACACAGGUCAAGUUUGAGAACCAGGGCUCUAACCCAUCUUGAAUAAAGCAGGUGGCAAAGGCUGGGGAGAGAUCCUGCUCUCUCAGCUCCCAGUGACACAGGGAUUUUUGCCCCUGUGGGCGGCCACUGUUUGGGGUGAUCUGUUCUGUCUUACCUUCCUCAUUGGCAAAGACAUUUAAGCAUCAGCUGGCUCAGGAUAAUUAACAUCAAACAGAUGGAGGCCCAGGGUUUUUACGUGAAGUCAACAAAUCACUUGGGAAUGGGUUCAUUUUUGCUUUAGGAAGGCAAACGUGGGUGUGUCUGAAACCAUGGGGUCUACUGCUCUCUUUCUUACUUCCCGCGUUACAGGCCCACGUCCCCCCCAGGAAGAGCAGAGUUUGAUGAUGUCCGUUCCACCAGGGAGGAAGUGAGGCUCCGAGGUGUCAUUUACCGACUGCACAGAAUCACAGCUUGCUGUCCUAGAGAAGUGAGAGCCUGUGGUCAGCAGAGGGCAGUCUUGUUCUAACAACUACUUGGUAGGGAGCUGGAAGCCAGCUGGUGAUAUUGAUGGAAUUGAUGGAGGCCAGAGGGUCUGGACCACUUAAAGAACAGAAACAGGGGAAAAAAAAAAAAAAAAGAUACCUACAUACCUGCCAUGUUGCCAUAUUAAUCAGGCAAUUAGCAUUCCCUAUAUAAUGCUUUCAAAUUUCUGUCUGAAAUUUUUCAUAUUAAAAUGUUAGAAGAAAGAGGAAAAUGCCCUAAGCUGUGCCACCUCAGCCACAGGGCUGGCGACAGCUCACCCAUCUGGACCAGCCCUGUAGCGACUGGAUGUAUGGGCUGGUAUCAGUCUUCAUUAAGCAUCUUAUCCUUAGUAUUCUCGCUGCUCAGAGAUCUGCCCCCAGAGCACGCUUGCCCUCUUUCCUCCCCUCUCUCCCUCCUCUGUCCCUCCCUCCCUCUGUGCACUCUCUCCUUUACCUCUGAGUCCAGGCGUGAGUCUAGCUGAAAUGACUGGUGGGAUGUCAGGACCGGGUACUGGGAGCCGGCAAGUACAUGUGAAAGACAUAACAGGUCCCUUCCCUUAGGCAUUUACAGUCUUGGAAAGACAGACUCACAGAAGCGGAACUUCGAGGAGAAAGACAGGAGAACAUUUAAAUCAUGUUCUCUGAGCCACAGGAGAAACCCGAGUUGAGCCUCUGACAAGCCUUGGCAUGAAGCUCUGAACUUCUUAAGGAUUUCUUCGUCACGAGCUUUCUAGAACGCACCUCCUUCAUAUCUCCAAACACUCUCCAAGGCCUGUCUGUUUUUUUUCUUUUUAGGGCCGCACUGGUGGCACAUGGAGGUUUCCAGGCUGGAAGUCAAAUCAGAGCUGCAGCGGCCGGCCUACACCACAGCCGCAGCCAUGGGGGACCCUUAACCCACUGAGCGAAGCCAGGGAUGGAACCUGCAUCCUCAUGGAUACUAGUUGGGUUCUUAACCUGCUGAACCACAACAGGAACUCCCCGGCAAAGUCUUUCAAGGUAGAGUUCGUCCUGGUAUCCAAGAGAAAAAGGGAGAGGUUCCUUAAUUUGUCUGUGUGAGGGCAGCUUAGCUCAGCUGAGAGUUUGCAGCUAACCCUCCCCGAGUAUGGCUGUAAUCCGUUCUUACCCCCACCUGAAUUGUUCCAAGGCUCUGUAACCCAUGGGUGACCUAGAAUUGGGUCAGGCCUCCUAGGACCACACCAGUCAGAGACAAAGCUUAGCCAGGUUCAAACUCAGCCUGGAUCCCUGUCUCCAGGCACUUGUCGAGCUUUGAAGGAAGCUAUUUUCUGCUGAUGUGCAGCCAGAAGGAGCCAAGAUGCCCCCCAGGCACUGGGUGCUGGGAGGUGAGAGGCACUGUUAGCAGCCGUGGCUCCACCAGCAUUAGGAGAUUAAUGAGGCUUUUUGAAUAACGAAUGUAGCUGCAGCCAACUGUUGGCAAUUAGUUAGAGCAAAGCUAUGCUGUGCUUCGGAUCUAUCAGCUGGGACCCCCAAAGGAGCAGAACAGCAGGAAGGGCUAGACAGAAAGGAAGAGUGCAAAUUCCACCUUGGCCCUCCUAGGCCAGCACUCUAGGUAUAAUGACCUUGAACUAAGCCUUCCAGAAUCAGAGCAACCUGAGAGAGGCCAUGCUGGUUUGAGACACACAUAAAGCGGUGAGGGUCCUUACCGGGCCGUCUUGCCUGGCUGUGCUCAGUGGGUUAAGGAUGUGGCAUUGCCGCAAGCUGUGGCAUAGGUUGCAGACACGGCUCAGA